GAGACAGUUCGGUCCCUAUCUGUUAUGGGCGAUGGAAGUUUGAGAGGAGCUGCUUUUAGUACGAGAGGACCGAAGUGGACGAACCUCUGGUUUACCAGUUAUCCUGCCAAGGGUAAGUGCUGGGUAUCUAAGUCCGGAAGGGAUAACCGCUGAAAGCAUCUAAGCGGGAAGCCCACCUCAAGAUUAGACUUCCCUGGAACUUUAAGUUCCCUGAAGACUCCUGGGAGACUACCAGGUUGAUAGGAUGCAGGUGUAAGCGCCGCGAGACGUUCAGCCGAGCAUUACUAAUAAGUCGUGAGACUUGGCCAU
rnacentral:rRNA from 1 species